GAGUCCUUCCUCCACCUCCUACUGACUUACUCACUCUACCAUCUUGUCACAGCACUUACACUCUUAGGGCCCCUGGGAUAUCUAUUAAUCUGACUAUAUCCUGUCACCCUUCUGGGCCAAACCAUUCUGCUGGCAGAUCCCAUGUGGGAAGAGAGUGAGCAGGGGAGGGUCCAUUCCCCAUCCUGAGGUUGUUGGUGGAAGACGUUCACAGGAUUCCUCCUUCAGCGAUGGCUGGGCAUCCUGGAAGUGGGGCAGGCAGCUGAAGAACAGAGAAGCAAGGUUUCCACCUCACCCUACCGUACACAUGCUUUGGACUUUGGAAUCGAAGUUCAGGGGGCAUCUUAGACCUGCCAGUUUGAGGACGGACUCAGUCAAGAGGCACAGCGGGGGCCCCUGUGCAGGAUGCUCAUACCGGGCUAAAGAGACGAGCACUCAUGCGAGCAAUGAUGCGAGAGAGCUGGGCUCUGGCUAACUUCGGUCGCCUAGCAACCCUAACAGACAGACAGCCUGGCCAGUCACCGUUGGCCGUUGAUAUCCACCUGCUUCCUGAAGCUAGAGGGAGCCACAAAUCAAGUGCUGCCCCACCCGGCCUCCACUCUCCCUGCCACCAACACCUGACCUUCUUCAAGCCCCUAAAGAGGCAGCUGGGUGACCACUGCUUCUCACCUCGCCCUUUGCCCUCCACCUGAGACCCAUUCUGCAGCUUAAUCUGUGACAUUUAACAUAAAUAGUUUUCUAUUCCC
rnacentral:lncRNA from 1 species